rnacentral:lncRNA from 1 species
CUUGUGUCAAAGGAAAGGACCUGAGACUACAAGAAGAGCCUAGUUGUCCCAUUCCAACAUCCAGUUGGGCCCAGGCUCUCAGCCAUUGCCUGAUAGGCCAUAGAAAAGUGAAUGAGUUGUUUUAGAUGUUCCUGCCUGGUCAAGUCUCAGAUGACUGCAGCCUCCAUAAAAUCCUGUGUGGAUGAAGAACCAUCUAGCAGAGCCCAGUUAGUCUGUAAUUUUUUUUUUUUUUUUGUCCCAGGGAUUUAACCCCAGGGCACUUUACCACUGAGCCACAUCUUCAGUCUUUUUAUUUUUGAUUUUUUUCAGACAGGAUCUUGCUGAACUGCUUAAGGCCUCACCAAAUUGCUAAGGCGGCUUUGAACUUGUGAUCCUCCUGCCUCCUGCGACAGGCUACAUCCCCACCCACUUUUAGAUUUUUUUUAUUUUGUGACACUAAGUUGGCCAGGCUGGCCUCAAACUUCCUGAGCCACUGGGAUUACAGGCAUGCACCACCAUGUGUGGCAGUCCACAAAAUCUUGAGAGAUGAUAAAAUGAUUGUCAUUUUGUGGUGGUUUAUGAUGCCGAAACAGAUAGCCAGAGUACUUUUGCUGACCACCCUCGCUCAAACUACAGCUUCUGUGUCUUUCUGUUUCCUUUCCUCUGCUUUGCUAUUCUCCACAGCACUUAAAACAUCCUGACAUUUAUACCCAUAUUGUUCAUUGUUCACCUCUUCUAAUCUCCAUGAGAGUGGGGAAUUUUGUGUGAUUUGCUCAUGGCUUUAUUCCCAGAGUUUAGGACAGUGCCUAGCUUCAAGUAGGGACCCAAUAAAUAUUUGUUGAAUGACUGACUAUUUAAGUAUUUAAUUUUCUAAGAUCCAAAUAGUGCAGGGUGUGGUGGCUAUAAUACCAGAUACUCAGGAGGCUAAGGCAGGAGGAUUACAAGUUGGAGGCCAGUCUGGGCAAUUUAGCAAGACCCUGUCUUAAAAUAAAAAAGAAAAAGAACUGGGGAUGUAGCGCAGUGAUAAAAUGCCCCUGGGUUCAAUUCUCUGUGUGUGUGUAUCCAAACAGCAUUGCUUUUAUAAUGGCCUGGAGGAGGAUUCAUUCUUAGCUCACAAGGACACAUACUGUUCCCUGAGGUGCAUCCUGCAACUGACCUCAUGCAUGAAAAUCCACAUAUUUUUGUUGAAC